CCUACGGGAGGCAGCAGUGGGGAAUAUUGCACAAUGGGGGGAACCCUGAUGCAGCGACGCCGCGGGAGUGAAGAAGUAAUUCGGUAUGUAAAGCUCUAUCAGCAGGGAAGAAAAUGACGGUACGUGAGUAAGAAGCCCCGGCUAACUACGUGCCAGCAGCCGCGGUAAUACGUAGGGGGCAAGCGUUAUCCGGAGUUACUGGGUGUAAAGGGAGCGUAGACGGCAGAGCAAGUCUGAAGUGAAAGGCGGGGGCACAACCACCGGACUGCAUUGGAAACUGUACGGCUGGAGUGCAGGAGAGGUAAGUGGAAUUCCUAGUGUAGCGGUGAAAUGCGUAGAUAUUAGGAGGAACACCAGUGGCGAAGGCGGCUUACUGGACUGUAACUGACGUUGAGGCUCGAAAGCGUGGGGAGCAAACAGGAUUAGAUACCCCAGUAGUC
rnacentral:rRNA from 1 species